UACGUAGGUGGCGAGCGUUGUCCGGAUUUACUGGGCGUAAAGGGCGUGCAGGCGGUUUGUUAAGUGCAGGGUGAAAGCUCCCGGCUCAACUGGGAGAGGUCCUUGCAUACUGGCGAACUCGAGGGAGGCAGAGGAAAGUGGAAUUCCCGGUGUAGUGGUGAUAUGCGUAGAUAUCGGGAGGAACACCUGAGGCGAAGGCGGGCUACUGGGCCGAUACUGACGCUGAUGCGCGAAAGCCAGGGGAGCGAACGGG
rnacentral:rRNA from 1 species